rnacentral:rRNA from 1 species
GAUGAACGCUGGCGGCGUGCCUAAUACAUGCAAGUCGAGCGAACAGACGAGGAGCUUGCUCCUCUGACGUUAGCGGCGGACGGGUGAGUAACACGUGGAUAACCUACCUAUAAGACUGGGAUAACUUCGGGAAACCGGAGCUAAUACCGGAUAAUAUAUUGAACCGCAUGGUUCAAUAGUGAAAGACGGUUUUGCUGUGACUUAUAGAUGGAUCCGCGCCGCAUUAGCUAGUUGGUAAGGUAACGGCUUACCAAGGCAACGAUGCGUAGCCGACCUGAGAGGGUGAUCGGCCACACUGGAACUGAGACACGGUCCAGACUCCUACGGGAGGCAGCAGUAGGGAAUCUUCCGCAAUGGGCGAAAGCCUGACGGAGCAGCGCCGCGUGAGUGAUGAAGGUCUUCGGAUCGUAAUACUCUGUUAUUAGGGAAGAACAAAUGUGUAAGUAACUAUGCACGUCUUGACGGUACCUAAUCAGAAAGCCACGGCUAACUACGUG